UACAGGCAUAAGCCACUGUGCCCAGCCCCAAGUCCUGUUUUUAAUAACUGUUCCCCAAGGUAACCUCCAUCCUGACCCCUAACAUAGAUUAGUUGGCUGUUUUGGAAUUUUCUAUGAAAAUAAACAUGCUAUAUGUACCCCUUUGGUGCUCAGUUUCUUUCCUUCAACAUUAUAUCUGUGAGAUUUAUCCAUGUUGUUAUGAGUAGUAGCUGUUCAUUCUUUUUCAUUGCUGUAUAAUAUUCCAUUGAAUUAAUAAACUAAAGUGCCUUCAUUCAUUCUGCUGCUGCUGGACAUUUGGGUUGCUUCCAGUUUGGGGUUAUUAUGUAUGAUUAGUGUUUCUAUGAAAAUUAUUUUACAUGUCUUUUGGUACACAUGUGCAUGCAUUCCUCUUGAGUUUAUAUCUAGGAUUGGAGUUGCUGGGUCAUACUAUAUAAAUAUAUUCAAUUUUAACAGAAAAUGUUAAAUGGUUUUCCACCCUCACCAGUUCAGUAUGAGAAUUCCUUUGCUCCACGUACUUGGCCCACACUUGGUGUUGACUGCUUUUUUCAUUUUAGCCAUUCUAGUGGAGAUGGACUUCCUUGUUUUGUUUUGUUUUGUUUUGUUUUGAGAUGGAAUUUCG
rnacentral:lncRNA from 1 species